GGGAAGCCGGUGAGAAUCCGGCGCUGACCCGCAACCGUGAGUACGGGCUGUGUGUGCCGCAGGGCGUACGAGCCGGAGCACC
rnacentral:ncRNA from 1 species